GACGAACGCUGGCGGCGUGCUUAACACAUGCAAGUCGAACGAUGAAGCCGGAGCUUGCUCUGGUGAAUUAGUGGCGAACGGGUGAGUAACACGUGAGUAACCUGCCCUUGACUCUGGGAUAACUGCGGGAAACUGUAGCUAAUACCGGAUACGACCCUCGGAGGCAUCUCCUGGGGGUGGAAAGAAUUUCGGUCAAGGAAGGACUCGCGGCCUAUCAGCUAGUUGGUGAGGUAAAGGCUCACCAAGGCGACGACGGGUAGCCGACCUGAGAGGAGGAUCGGCCACACUGGAACUGAGACACGGUCCAGACUCCUACGGGAGGCAGCAGUGGGGAAUAUUGCACAAUGGGCGCAAGCCUGAUGCAGCGACGCCGCGUGAGUGAUGAAGGCCUUCGUGUUGUAAAACUCUGUCCUAUGGGAAGAAACAAAUGACGGUACCAUGGGAGGAAGCCCCGGCUAACUACGUGCCAGCAGCCGCCGUAA
rnacentral:rRNA from 1 species